rnacentral:misc_RNA from 1 species
GAACGCACAUUGCGCCCCUUGGUAUUCCAUGGGGCAUGCCUGUUCGAGCGUCAUUUGUACCUUCAAGCUAUGCUUGGUGUUGGGUGUUUGUCCUCUCCCCUGCGUUUGGACUCGCCUUAAAGUCAUUGGCAGCCUGUAUACUGGUUUUGAGCGCAGCACAUUUUGCGUCUUGCAUCUAGUAAUACUAGCAUCCAUCAAGCCCUUUAUCACUUUUGACCUCGGAUCAGGUAGGGAUACCCGCUGAACUUA